rnacentral:rRNA from 1 species
AUGGUUAAGUUAGAAAGGGCGCACGGUGAAUGCCUUGGCACUAGGAGCCGAUGAAGGACGGGACUAACACCGAUAUGCUUCGGGGAGCUGUAAGUGAGCUUUGAUCCGGAGAUUUCCGAAUGGGGAAACCCACUGUUCGUAAUGGAACAGUAUCUUUAUCUGAAUACAUAGGAUAUUGAAGGCAGACCCGGGGAACUGAAACAUCUAAGUACCCGGAGGAAGAGAAAGCAAAUGCGAUUUCCUGAGUAGCGGCGAGCGAAACGGAAUUAGCCCAAACCAAGAGGCUUGCCUCUUGGGGUUGUAGGACACUCUAUACGGAGUUACAAAGGAACGAAGUAAAUGAAGCGACCUGGAAAGGUCCGUCGAAGAAGGUAACAACCCUGUAGUUGAAACUUCGUUCCCUCUUGAGUGGAUCCUGAGUACGGCGGAACACGUGAAAUUCCGUCGGAAGCUGGGAGGACCAUCUCCCAAGGCUAAAUACUACCUAGUGACCGAUAGUGAACCAGUACCGUGAGGGAAAGGUGAAAAGCACCCCGGAAGGGGAGUGAAAGAGAUCCUGAAACCGUGUGCCUACAAGUAGUCAGAGCCCGUUAACGGGUGAUGGCGUGCCUUUUGUAGAAUGAACCGGCGAGUUACGAUCCCAUGCAAGGUUAAGCUGAUAAGGCGGAGCCGUAGCGAAAGCGAGUCUGAAUAGGGCGUUUAGUAUGUGGUUGUAGACCCGAAACCAGGUGAUCUACCCAUGUCCAGGGUGAAGUUCAGGUAACACUGAAUGGAGGCCCGAACCCACGCACGUUGAAAAGUGCGGGGAUGAGGUGUGGGUAGCGGAGAAAUUCCAAUCGAACCUGGAGAUAGCUGGUUCUCUCCGAAAUAGCUUUAGGGCUAGCCUCAUGUUGUGAGAGUCUUGGAGGUAGAGCACUGAUUGGACUAGGGGCCCCCAACGGGUUACCGAAUUCAGUCAAACUCCGAAUGCCAAAGACUUAUCCAUGGGAGUCAGACUGCGAGUGAUAAGAUCCGUAGUCAAAAGGGAAACAGCCCAGACCACCAGCUAAGGUCCCCAAGUAUACGUUAAGUGGAAAAGGAUGUGGAGUUGCUUAGACAACCAGGAUGUUGGCUUAGAAGCAGCCACCAUUUAAAGAGUGCGUAAUAGCUCACUGGUCGAGUGACUCUGCGCCGAAAAUGUACCGGGGCUAAACGUAUCACCGAAGCUGUGGAUUGACAUCUUUGAUGUCAGUGGUAGGAGAGCGUUCUAAGUGCAGCGAAGUCAGACCGUAAGGACUGGUGGAGCGCUUAGAAGUGAGAAUGCCGGUAUGAGUAGCGAAAGACAAGUGAGAAUCUUGUCCACCGAAUGCCUAAGGUUUCCUGAGGAAGGCUCGUCCGCUCAGGGUUAGUCGGGACCUAAGCCGAGGCUGAAAAGCGUAGGCGAUGGCCAACAGGUUGAUAUUCCUGUACCACCUCCCCGCCGUUUGAGUAAUGGGGGGACGCAGUAGGAUAGGGUAAGCGCGCUGCUGGAUAUGCGCGUUCAAGCAGUUAGGCUGAUGAGUAGGCAAAUCCGCUCAUCAUGAAGGCUGAGCUGUGAUGACGAGGGAAUUACAGUACCGAAGUUCCUGAUUCCACACUGCCAAGAAAAGCCUCUAGCGAGGCGGGAGGUGCCCGUACCGCAAACCGACACAGGUAGGCGAGGAGAGAAUCCUAAGGUGAUCGAGAGAACUCUCGUUAAGGAACUCGGCAAAAUGACCCCGUAACUUCGGGAGAAGGGGUGCUCUGGUAGGGUGUAUAGCCCGAGAGAGCCGCAGUGAAUAGGCCCAGGCGACUGUUUAGCAAAAACACAGGUCUCUGCGAAGCCGCAAGGCGAAGUAUAGGGGCUGACGCCUGCCCGGUGCUGGAAGGUUAAGAGGAGGGGUUAUCCUUUGGGAGAAGCUCUGAAUCGAAGCCCCAGUAAACGGCGGCCGUAACUAUAACGGUCCUAAGGUAGCGAAAUUCCUUGUCGGGUAAGUUCCGACCCGCACGAAAGGCGUAACGAUCUGGGCACUGUCUCAACGAGAGACUCGGUGAAAUUAUAGUACCUGUGAAGAUGCAGGUUACCCGCGACAGGACGGAAAGACCCCGUGGAGCUUUACUGUAGCCUGAUAUUGAAUUUUGGUACAGCUUGUACAGGAUAGGUAGGAGCCUGAGAAGCCGGAGCGCUAGCUUCGGUGGAGGCGUCGGUGGGAUACUACCCUGGCUGUAUUGAAAUUCUAACCCGCGGCCCUGAUCGGGCCGGGAGACAGUGUCAGGUGGGCAGUUUGACUGGGGCGGUCGCCUCCUAAAAUGUAACGGAGGCGCCCAAAGGUUCCCUCAGAAUGGUUGGAAAUCAUUCGUAGAGUGUAAAGGCACAAGGGAGCUUGACUGCGAGACCUACAAGUCGAGCAGGGACGAAAGUCGGGCUUAGUGAUCCGGUGGUUCCGCAUGGAAGGGCCAUCGCUCAACGGAUAAAAGCUACCCCGGGGAUAACAGGCUUAUCUCCCCCAAGAGUCCACAUCGACGGGGAGGUUUGGCACCUCGAUGUCGGCUCAUCGCAUCCUGGGGCUGUAGUCGGUCCCAAGGGUUGGGCUGUUCGCCCAUUAAAGCGGUACGCGAGCUGGGUUCAGAACGUCGUGAGACAGUUCGGUCCCUAUCCGUCGUGGGCGUAGGAAAUUUGAGAGGAGCUGUCCUUAGUACGAGAGGACCGGGAUGGACACACCGCUGGUGUACCAGUUGUCUUGCCAAAGGCAUCGCUGGGUAGCUAUGUGUGGACGGGAUAAGUGCUGAAAGCAUCUAAGCAUGAAGCCCCCCUCAAGAUGAGAUUUCCCAUAGCGCAAGCUAGUAAGAUCCCUGAAAGAUGAUCAGGUUGAUAGGUCAGAGGUGGAAGCGUGGCGACAUGUGUAGCUGACUGAUACUAAUCGAUCGAGGACUUAACCAAAC